UUAAUAUUUCUUUUAGUACUUUUACUGCUUUGGAAGAAAAUGAGGUUAGAAUGUUUGGGACAGUAGAGAGCGCUACAUAAAAACUACUGACUAUUGUCUGCACACUACUGAGUCGUGUUCUGGCACUAACCAGUCGUGUUUCGUGCAGCACUCACUAC